rnacentral:rRNA from 1 species
GAAGNNCUCGCGGCCUAUCAGCUUGUUGGUGGGGUAAAGGCCUACCAAGGCGACGACGGGUAGCCGGCCUGAGAGGGCGACCGGCCACACUGGGACUGAGACACGGCCCAGACUCCUACGGGAGGCAGCAGUGGGGAAUAUUGCGCAAUGGGCGAAAGCCUGACGCAGCGACGCCGCGUGAGGGAUGAAGGCCUGCGGGUUGUAAACCUCUUUCAGCAGGGAAGAAGCGAAAGUGACGGUACCUGCAGAAGAAGCACCGGCUAACUACGUGCCAGCAGCCGCGGUAAUACGUAGGGUGCAAGCGUUGUCCGGAAUUAUUGGGCGUAAAGAGCUCGUAGGCGGUCUGUCGCGUCUGCUGUGAAAACUCGGGGCUUAACCCCGGGCCUGCAGUGGGUACGGGCAGACUAGAGUGCGGUAGGGGAGACUGGAAUUCCUGGUGUAGCGGUGAAAUGCGCAGAUAUCAGGAGGAACACCGGUGGCGAAGGCGGGUCUCUGGGCCGUAACUGACGCUGAGGAGCGAAAGCAUGGGGAGCGAACAGGAUUAGAUACCCUGGUAGUCCAUGCCGUAAACGUUGGGCGCUAGGUGU